AGUCGUAACAAGGUUUCCGUAGGUGAACACCCCUUUCCAGGUUCGCCCAAACAAGUCUGCGCUUAGCAGGCAACAUCUCUACUGUGCUAGGAUUCACAAAUAUUGUGAUACCAGCAGCCUAGAAAUGGGCUCACAGGUCAAAUAGAGGUGGCCCUCUGGGGUUAAGAUAUGAUCGAGUUCCUGCUUGAGACAGCAGGUAUUUCCACGCUGCGGAAGGAUCAUUACAGAGAACAUGCCCUUCGGGGUAUAUCUCCCACCCUUUGUAUACAAUACCUUUGUUGCUUUGGCAGGCCUGUCUUACGACUACUGGCUUUAGCUGGUCCGUGCCUGCCAGAGGACCCCAACAUUCUUUUUAUUAUGUCGUCUGAGUACUAUAAAAUAGUUAAAACUUUCAACAACGGAUCUCUUGGUUCUGGCAUCGAUGAAGAACGCAGCGAAAUGCGAUAAGUAAUGUGAAUUGCAGAAUUCAGUGAAUCAUCGAAUCUUUUGAACGCACAUUGCACCCUCUGGUAUUCCGGGGGGGUAUGCCUGUUCGAGCGUCAUUGCAACCCUCAAGCAUUGCUUGGUAUUGGAUGCCACCACUGUGGUGCGUCUCAAAAGUAUUGGCGGUGGCAUUCAGCUUCUAGCGUAGUAAAUCUUCUCGCCUUGGAGUUUGAGUGUCUGACUGCCAGAACCCCUAAAUUUAUCAAAGGUUGACCUCGGAUCAGGUAGGGAUACCCGCUGAACUUAAGCAUAUCAAUAAGCGGAGGAAAAGAAACCAACAGGGAUUGCCUCAGUAACGGCGAGUGAAGCGGCAACAGCUCAAAUUUGAAAUCUGGCCUCACGGUCCGAGUUGUAAUUUGUAGAGGAUGCUUUGAGCAUGUCCGGUCUAAGUUCCUUGGAACAGGACGUCAUAGAGGGUGAGAAUCCCGUAUGUGACUGGGUGCCUAAGCUCAUGUGAAGCUCCUUCGACGAGUCGAGUUGUUUGGGAAUGCAGCUCAAAAUGGGUGGUAAAUUUCAUCUAAGCUAAAUACUGGCCAGAGACCGAUAGCGCACAAGUAGAGUGAUCGAAAGAUGAAAAGCACUUUGGAAAGAGAGUUAAACAGUACGUGAAAUUGUUGAAAGGGAAGCGCUUGCAACCAGACUUGCAUGCAGUUGAUCAUCUGAUGUUUUCAUCAGUGCACUCGAUUGUAUUCAGGCCAGCAUUGGUUUUGGUGGUUGGAUAAAGGCCAAGGGAAUGUAGCUUCUUUCGGGGAGUGUUAUAGCCCUUGGUGCAAUGCAUCCUACUGGGACCGAGGACCGCGCUUCGGCUAGGAUGCUGGCGUAAUGGUUGUAAGCGACC
rnacentral:rRNA from 1 species